UGUUUUAACAUGAUUAAAUAUUCAUAAAAUUGAUUAAAUUUUCGAAAUUUAACUGAUAAUAUCAGUUGUGGAACUUAGUCAAUUUAUUUUAUUUUUUUUAAGGAAAAAAAUAAUAAAAUUCCUUGAAAAGAGGAUUUUACCACUUCAAACGCUAAUUUAUUUUUUAAACCUAUUCUAAAACGUGUUGCCAUGAUAAUCUGAUGGAGAAAUCGUGGGAAUAUUGAGGGAAUCAAAGGAUUGAAGAGAGAGAGUGUUAUUAUCGUUUUUUUUAAGAGAAGAAAUUUUUGAGUUCUUGCACUUGGGAAAAAUCUGGGCAGUAAUGAACAUUGUAGAAUCAUUCUAGGGGAGGAAAUAAACAUUUUGAGUGUGAGAAAUACAUUUAUAAAGCCUCGGAUUGUGAUUCACCAUUUUUAUCCAAGAAAAUGCAAAUUCUUGGAUAAUUUUGGAUUUAAGUGUGUUCAAGAGUGUAUGGUGUGCGUGGUUGGUGAUAAACAAGCUUAGGGGACUCCAAUAAUCGAUUUUGACGUGAAGAAACGAGCUGAAAUGGUCUAGAGCAAGAAAAACUAAUUUUGAGCUCCAUUUUUGGCGGUACACCGGACUUGGAGAAGAAGACUUCGGAACAAGGGGUUACGGACAUCUUUUUGGGCUGGGGUCUAUUGUUUUGAAGUUCUGGACAUAAGGGGAUCAUUUAACAAGCAAGAGAAGGGUUGGAAAGCAGCAAAACUCAGCCAUAGAGUCACCGGCGCCGGAGAAGAAGACAAAACCGGCGAUAUUUCCGGCGAACCCGAUCUGGGUGUUUACUGAGGAGCUAGCGGUCAUCGAGGUGACACAGCGAGUGGUUCGAGACACGUCAGCGGAAAACGCACUGUUUAAGGAUAAUAGGAUGCCACCACGGAACUGCCGAGUGUGAGUACAGCGCAGGCAGGGCAACGAUGUCUCGAGGGAACGGCCGAGUGUGAGUACAGCGCAGGCUAGACUAUGUGCCACCGUGGGAAUGCCGAGUGUGAGUACAGCGCAGGCAAGGCAGAUUACAUUUCAUGUCCGAUCAACAUGACUUGUUAGUAUUUAUGUGUGUGAGUGUAACACACAUUAUGUUAGUGUGAUAUGGUGUUUAUAUAUCGCACGAUGAUUAUUAUGCUUAAGAUGUUUAUUUAUGUUUAGUUGAAAGUUUAUGUUUUCUGGUUUGGGGAGUUAUGUCCUACAUAGCUCUUCUUACUGGGCGUUAGCUCACGGGUACUCUGUGUGCAGGUAAAGGCAAAGCAAAGCAGUGAGUAGUGCGGGCUCGAGGCAUGGAUGGAACAUGUUAGAGGCUGGGCUCCAGUUAUUUUAUGUUUUUAGAAAUAAAUGUUAUGUUUUUUUAAAAUUUUCAGACUUGAAUGGUUAUUUUCUUUAUGUUUUUGAUAUUAAACCUAGCGUCCAACAUUUUUAUUUUUAAAUAAUGAGAUCUCAUUGUCUGUUUAAAUUUUAAAUAAAUAUUUUCUCUUAGUGUCUUAAAGUAUUUAUUGUUUAUUAUUUUUAAAUGGACUCCCUAAGUAACGUCUCGGGA